AUUGAACGCUGGCGGCAUGCCUUACACAUGCAAGUCGAACGGUAACAGGUCUUUGGAUGCUGACGAGUGGCGAACGGGUGAGUAAUACAUCGGAACGUGCCCGAUCGUGGGGGAUAACGAAGCGAAAGCUUUGCUAAUACCGCAUACGAUCUACGGAUGAAAGCAGGGGACCGCAAGGCCUUGCGCGAACGGAGCGGCCGAUGGCAGAUUAGGUAGUUGGUGGGAUAAAAGCUUACCAAGCCGACGAUCUGUAGCUGGUCUGAGAGGACGACCAGCCACACUGGGACUGAGACACGGCCCAGACUCCUACGGGAGGCAGCAGUGGGGAAUUUUGGACAAUGGGCGAAAGCCUGAUCCAGCCAUGCCGCGUGCAGGAUGAAGGCCUUCGGGUUGUAAACUGCUUUUGUACGGAACGAAAAGACUCUGGUUAAUACCUGGGGUCCAUGACGGUACCGUAAGAAUAAGCACCGGCUAACUACGUGCCAGCAGCCGCCCGUAACAC
rnacentral:rRNA from 1 species